AACAGGAUUAGAUACCCUGGUAGUCCACGCCGUAAACGAUGUCGACUUGGAGGUUGUGCCCUUGAGGCGUGGCUUCCGGAGCUAACGCGUUAAGUCGACCGCCUGGGGAGUACGGCCGCAAGGUUAAAACUCAAAUGAAUUGACGGGGGCCCGCACAAGCGGUGGAGCAUGUGGUUUAAUUCGAUGCAACGCGAAGAACCUUACCUGGUCUUGACAUCUACAGAACUUUCCAGAGAUGGAUUGGUGCCUUCGGGAACUGUGAGACAGGUGCUGCAUGGCUGUCGUCAGCUCGUGUUGUGAAAUGUUGGGUUAAGUCCCGCAACGAGCGCAACCCUUAUCCUUUGUUGCCAGCGGUCCGGCCGGGAACUCAAAGGAGACUGCCAGUGAUAAACUGGAGGAAGGUGGGGAUGACGUCAAGUCAUCAUGGCCCUUACGACCAGGGCUACACACGUGCUACAAUGGCGCAUACAAAGAGAAGCGACCUCGCGAGAGCAAGCGGACCUCAUAAAGUGCGUCGUAGUCCGGAUUGGAGUCUGCAACUCGACUCCAUGAAGUCGGAAUCGCUAGUAAUCGUGGAUCAGAAUGCCACGGUGAAUACGUUCCCGGGCCUUGUACACACCGCCCGUCACACCAUGGGAGUGGGUUGCAAAAGAAGUAGGUAGCUUAACCUUCGGGAGGGCGCUUACCACUUUGUGAUUCAUGACUGGGGUGAAGUCGUAACAAGGUAACC
rnacentral:rRNA from 1 species